GAAGGUGCGCUAAUGUUAACAAAAGCUAAUUUGGAAUUAUUAUGUUUGCAUAUUUUGCGCGUUCCUGCUCCCCUGAUGAAUGACGCGUUUGAACAAGGUGUAACGGUCGCUUGCUGCUUCAAGAUGCAGCGUUCGCUCUUGUCUGCCGUGUUAUGACUUUUCGCGUUCGUCUCAGCAUGCCCCAAGUGACAUUUUUGCUCUUAAUGUUAUUAGCGUGACAUGCGACAAUACAAAUUACAGUGAGCGUCAUCGGCUUCAGUACGACCAGACAGGUGUCAUGCGAUUGCGGCUCUGUUGCAGCUGCGAAGACUGCCUCAUCGUGAGUACUAUGCUCAAGUGUUUUUUGCUUCCUGCGAAUAAAGCAGAAAUAUAAAUAAUGAUACCGUCCUGCUGCACGUAAAGUUUGUCUCUCCAGUGUGUUGCACGAGAACAUAUGGACGCGUUUCUUUCACGACCAACGCCCGGUUUAUGCAAAUGCGAAGUUAACGUUAACAAAGCAACUUUUUGCACACCACACGCUGUGAAAAGUGUCUCUUGGUUUCUCGUUCUUUUAUUCAUCAUGUGCCGCUAGUCUGCGCGUUCCCGCUUUUAAUGCAUGUCAUUCUCGUGUUUCAGAUCCUUCACACGGAAAACACGGGUUCCUCUAGAAUCCGCAUAGCUCACCAGAGUACUCGUGGCGUGGAUCGGAAAAGCAUGACGACUGCGAAGCAAUAUGUCGGACUCCACAAGCGCCUCCUGUAACGGGGGAUACACAGGAAAGCUCUAUACGUAGAAAACCAACUGAUGACAUGACUUCCACGGCUGCCCGGAAUGCUUCCUGUUUUCCUCAACCGUUUCUGUAAAGUCAGUGAGAAACUGCAUCGUGAAAUACAAAAUGUCUGUUUCAGAAGUGCACACUAAAAUAAUUCAUGUUUAUUUCAGUAUCAUGCAUAUCUGUGGGUUUCAUCAUGGAGAUCCAAAUGAGCUCCCGAAUGGCUCAGUUCCGCUUGGAGGAGAAACGUUGCUACUUCGGCUGCGACCAGUUGCAAGCUGGUAUUUUGAACUAGGA